GGUCCCGUAGCUCAGGUGGAUAGAGCACCAGAUUCCUAAUCUGGGGGUCACAGGUUCAAGUCCUGUCGGGAUCACCA
rnacentral:tRNA from 1 species